GACAGAGGUGCCAAGCGUUAGGCGGAAUCACUGGGCGUAAAGGGCGCGUAGGCGGCCUUCUAAGUCGGACGUGAAAUCCCUCGGCUUAACCGAGGAACUGCGUCCGAUACUGAAAGGCUUGAAUCCGGGAGAGGGAUGUGGAAUUCCAGGUGUAGCGGUGAAAUGCGUAGAUAUCUGGAGGAACACCGGUGGCGAAGGCGGCAUCCUGGACCGGCAUUGACGCUGAGGCGCGAAAGCUAGGGGAGCAAACGGG
rnacentral:rRNA from 1 species